UACGUAGGGUGCGAGCGUUGUCCGGAAUUACUGGGCGUAAAGAGCUCGUAGGUGGUUUGUCGCGUUGUCCGUGAAAACUCACAACUCAAUUGUGGGCGUGCGGGCGAUACGGGCAGACUGGAGUACUGCAGGGGAGACUGGAAUUCCUGGUGUAGCGGUGGAAUGCGCAGAUAUCAGGAGGAACACCGGUGGCGAGGGCAGGUCUCUGGGCCACUACUGACGCUGAGAAGCGAAAGCAUGGGGAGCGAACAGG
rnacentral:rRNA from 1 species